rnacentral:tRNA from 1 species
GCGCCAGUAGCUCAGUUGGAUAGAGCGUCCGCCUCCUAAGCGGAAGGCCGGGGAUUCGAGUUCCUUCUGGCGCGCCA